UCCUACGGGAGGCAGCAGUGGGGAAUAUUGCACAAUGGGCGCAAGCCUGAUGCAGCCAUGCCGCGUGUAUGAAGAAGGCCUUAGGGUUGUAAAGUACUUUCAGUCGGGAGGAAGGUGUUAAGGUUAAUACCCUUGUCAAUUGACGUUACCGACAGA
rnacentral:rRNA from 1 species